rnacentral:rRNA from 1 species
GAUGAACGCUGGCGGCGUGCCUAAUACAUGCAAGUCGAGCGAACAGAUGAGGAGCUUGCUCCUCUGACGUUAGCGGCGGACGGGUGAGUAACACGUGGAUAACCUACCUAUAAGACUGGGAUAACUACGGGAAACCGGAGCUAAUACCGGAUAAUAUAUUGAACCACAUGGUUCAAUAGUGAAAGACGGUUUUGCUGUCACUUAUAGUGGGAUCCCCGCCGCAUUGGCUGGUUGUUAAGUAAACGGCUUACCAAGGGAAGGAUGCGUAGCCGACCGGAGGGGGUGAUCGGCACCCCUGGAGCGGGAACACGGUCCAGACUCCUACGGGAGGCAGCAGAAGGGAAUCUUCCGCAAUGGGCGAAAGCCUGACGGAGCAACGCCGCGUGAGUGAUGAAGGUCUUCGGAUCGUAAAACUCUGUUAUUGGGGAAAAACAAAUGUGUACGUAAAUAUGCACGUCUUGACGGUACCUAAUCAGAAAGCCACGGCUAACUACGUG